UGAAAGAAAGCGAUCCAUGACUCUUUGCCAUGCUCUCUGCCUCUCUCGUAGACUCCAUGACUGCAUCUCUCUCUUCUUCAUCCAAACCCACAAUUUCAGAGCGAGAGAGAUCUGAGCUGGGAUUGGGUUCUGAAGUGCUUAUUGGGAUUUGGGUGGAAACAAGGUAGUGAAGAUGAGUACAAAUGAUGAGUCCCAAUUUAGAAAAAGAGCGUGCUGAAUUGGAGGAUCUUACUGAAGACAUAUUUGAUUUGACAUUGCAAGAUAGAUCCGAAGAAGGAGAUAGCCGCAAUUAAGAUGAUUUUGACGUAUUUUAUUUAGUAAAUUAAAUAUCUAUUUUAUUCAGUACAUUAAAUAUGUAUUUUAUUUAGUACAUUAAAUAUGUAUUUCGAACCUAUUUCAAUCUUUGUAGCUACUAUUAUCAUUGAUGCUAUUUCAUCACUCAUUUGAAAAUCAA